rnacentral:rRNA from 1 species
GACGAACGCUGGCGGCGUGCUUAACACAUGCAAGUCGAACGGAAAGGCCCUGCUUUUGUGGGGUGCUCGAGUGGCGAACGGGUGAGUAACACGUGAAUAACCUGCCCUUGACUUUGGGGUAACUUCAGGAAACUGGGGCUCAUACCGGAUAGGAGCUCCUGCUGCAUGGUGGGGGUUGGAAAGUUUCGGCGGUUGGGGAUGGACUCGCGGCUUAUCAGCUUGUUGGUGGGGUAGUGGCUUACCAAGGCUUUGACGGGUAGCCGGCCUGAGAGGGUGACCGGCCACAUUGGGACUGAGAUACGGCCCAGACUCCUACGGGAGGCAGCAGUGGGGAAUAUUGCACAAUGGGCGGAAGCCUGAUGCAGCAACGCCGCGUGCGGGAUGACGGCCUUCGGGUUGUAAACCGCUUUCGCCUGUGACGAAGCGUGAGUGACGGUAAUGGGUAAAGAAGCACCGGCUAACUACGU